rnacentral:lncRNA from 1 species
AGUGUGUGCACAGGCUGCCAUGGCAUCAGAUGAAGGCAAGCUUUUCGUGGGAGGUCUCAGCUUCGACACCAAUGAGCAGGCGCUGGAGCAGGUCUUCUCCAAGUAUGGGCAGAUCUCGGAAGUGGUGGUGGUAAAGGACAGGGAGACUCAACGAUCCCGAGGCUUCGGGUUUGUCACCUUUGAAAAUAUCGAUGACGCUAAGGAUGCCAUGAUGGCUAUGAAUGGGAAGUCUGUGGAUGGGAGGCAGAUCCGAGUUGACCAGGCUGGCAAGUCUUCUGAUAACCGGUCCCGAGGAUACCGGGGUGGCUCUGCUGGAGGCCGUGGCUUCUUCCGUGGGGGACGCAGCCGGGGCCGAGGGUUCUCCAGAGGAGGAGGAGACCGGGGCUAUGGAGGUGGCCGCUUUGAGUCCCGGAGUGGUGGUUAUGGAGGCUCCAGAGACUACUAUGCCAGCCGGAGUCAGGGUGGCAGCUAUGGCUAUCGGAGCUCCGGUGGGUCCUACAGAGACAGCUACGACAGCUAUGGAUGAAGGGGAGCCAACCUGAGCCAUGGAAGGAUGGCUGAGGCCGUGUCGCUGGGUCCUAGAGGGUUCCACAGGAUCAGGAGCCAUAGACUGCACACAGUUGGCCCGACAAUUCCUGAGCUGGCACCGGCUCUUGGGCGAUCCUGUGAAAACAGAACGAAGCUGGGAUGCAAGCUGGGUCGCUGGGACAGAACGUUGCGAGGGUGGGGGUUGCCUGAAUAAAGAAAGGGCUGUGACCCAG